CGCCUCCUGCAAACAACGACGUAUAGGAGGUCUUGCCUGCCCAGUGACAAUGUUAAACGGCCGCGGUAUUUUGACCGUGCGAAGGUAGCGCAAUCACUUGUCUUUUAAAUGAAGACCUGUAUGAAUGGUGAAACGAGGGCUUAACUGUCUCCCUUUUCUAGUCAAUGAAAUUGAUCUGCCCGUGCAGAAGCGGACAUAAUAAUACAAGACGAGAAGACCCUUUGGAGCUUAAGAUAUAAAGAUCAUCUAUGUCAAUGGGCCCCAACACGGCAACAAACUAAAUAGCAACUGAUCUUAAUCUUCGGUUGGGGCGACCACGGGAGAAAAUAAAGCUCCCACGCGGACUGGGGUAAACCCUAAAACCAAGAAAAACAUUUCUAAGCAACAGAACUUCUGACCAUUAAGAUCCGGCUACACGCCGACCAACGGACCAAGUUACCCUAGGGAUAACAGCGCAAUCCCCUUUCAGAGUCCAUAUCGACAAGGGGGUUUACGACCUCGAUGUUGGAUCAGGACAUCCUAAUGGUGCAGCCGCUAUUAAGGGUUCGUUUGUUCAACGAUUAAAGUCCU
rnacentral:rRNA from 1 species